rnacentral:tRNA from 1 species
GCGGAUGUGGCGGAAUUGGUAGACGCGCUAGAUUCAGGUUCUAGUGGUGGUUAACACCGUGGAGGUUCGAGUCCUCUCAUCCGCACCA